GACCUGGUGGUGUAACUGGUAACACACUUGCUCCAAAUGAAUGAAAAUCAGGCACUCCUGCAAGUGCUCCCCGUUCAAUUCGGGGUCAGGUCA